rnacentral:rRNA from 1 species
AUGGCGUCCCACAACCACAAACCAGAAUCCCUGCUGCUAGCAUGCCUCGGCGCGGUGUUUGCGGCAAGGCUCGCCGCCGUAGCAGGAGCACCAGCGCAGCCUAGCAGCGACUGCCAGAGCAAGUGCGGCGACAUUGACGUCCCUUUCCCGUUCGGCAUCGGGCCGGAGUGCGCGAUGCCGGGCUUCAACCUCACCUGCGACGACGUCGGUGGCCGCAGGGCGCUAUUCCAUGGCAACGUGGAGAUCGUUGGCCUCCCGCUGGAGCGAGGCCAGGCCCGGAUGAUGAAUGUCAUCUCCUCUGCCUGCUACAACGCCACCUCCGGGGGCAUGAAGUACAACGACUGGCAACUCAACCUCACAAACACGCCCUACAGGCUCUCCGACACCGACAACAAGUUCACGGCCGUGGGGUGCAGAACGCUCGCGUACAUCAGCGACGAGCGCAACACGGGCAAGUACAUGAGCGGGUGCGUGGCCAUGUGCCGGCGAGGCGAGCAGGGCGCCCUGCGCAACGGCCCCUGCUCCGGGAUAGGCUGCUGCCAGACGGCCAUUCCAGGGGAGCUGCAGUUCUACCGCGUGUGGUUCGACCCGAGCUUCAACACCACGGAGAUCCACAACGUCAGCCGCUGCAGCUACGCGGUGCUGAUGGAGUCGUCAAACUUCACCUUCUUCCCCAGCUACGCCACCUCGCCGGAGUUCAACGACAGAUUCUACGGCCGGGCGAAGGUGGUGGUCGACUGGGCCAUCGGGAACGAGACAUGCGAAGUGGCUCGCGUGAAACGCGACUCCUACGCCUGUGUCAGCGACAACAGCGAGUGCUUCAACUCGGCAAACGGACCAGGAUACAUCUGCAACUGCACCAAAGGAUUUCACGGCAACCCUUACCUCAAAGAUCCGGCCCACGGCUGCAUAGAUAUUGAUGAGUGCGUAGAUCUUCAACCUUACCCUUGUUCUGUCCGUGGAAGUUGCAAAAAUUUACCCGGUCGAUUUGAGUGUGUGUGCCCUGACGGUUACACAGGCGAUGCAAAAAAUGGGACCUGCGAGAGCGAGAGACCUCCGCGCAACCAAACACUUGGUCCUGGAGCAAAACUCGCAAUUGGCGCUUCUGUCGGCAUUUUGGUUGGUCUCGUUGGUUUCCUUGGAGUAGAGGUGAUCCGCCACAAAAGGAGUAUAAAAAGAGAAGCCCUCAAUAGACAGAGCGACGAAUAUUUCAAACAGCACGGGGGCGAGAUACUAGCAGAGAUGACGAGGGACGGUCACGGGCGAAGCAUCCCCUUCACCGUCUACACAAGGGACGAGAUCGAGGCGGCAACGGAUAGCUUCAAGAAGGCGAACAUCGUCGGGGAAGGCGGGCAGGGGACGGUCUACAAGGCGGUCCUCCGCGACACCGCCGUCGCCGUCAAGAGGUGCAAGGAGGUUGACGAGAGCAGGACCAAGGACUUCGUGCAGGAGCUGGUGAUCCUCUGCCGCCUCGACCACCCCAACAUCGUCAAGCUCCUCGGCUGCUGCCUGCAGUACGAGGCGCCCAUCCUCGUCUACGAGUUUGUGCCCAACAGAACCCUGCAGGAACUGCUGCACCCCAGGAACCAGAGGUGCUGCGUCACGCUCGGGACCCGUCUGAAGAUCGCCGCCCAGUCCGCCGGAGCACUCGCGCACCUGCACUCGGCUGAGCGCCCGAUACUCCACGGCGACGUGAAGCCCGCCAACAUCCUCCUCGGCGACGGCUGGGUCGCCAAGGUGUCCGACUUUGGCUGCUCCACCAUCGACGAGAUCACCCAGGUUGUCCCCAAAGGCACGCCGGGGUAUCUUGACCCGGAGUACCUUCUUGAUUACCAGCUCACCGUCAAGAACGACGUCUACAGCUUCGGGGUUGUUCUUAUCGAGCUCCUCACCGGGAAGAAGCCGUUGUCCAAGGAAAGGAAGAGCCUCACUGUGAUGUUUCAGGAGUCUAUGGCGGAUGGCACACUCCAUCAACUCCUUGACAGGGGAAUAUCAGAUGAGGCUAACAUGGCUGUGAUUCUCCAGGUUGCAGAGCUGGCGAGUCAAUGCUUACUUGUUCCCGGUGCAAGUAGGCCGGCAAUGAGGCUUGUGGCGGAGAAGCUCCGGCGACUGGCUGAUGGGGUGCAGGAGCAGUCACAGCUGCCGCUUGUCCUCGAGGAUCUUAGCCCCAUGGGUGUUGGUGCUGGUGUUGGGAGCUCCACAUCAACACUUUAUACUACCAAUAGCCAGACCACCGGAUAUUUCAGCCUCGAGAAGAAAACCGCGCUGAGCAUAGAAUACGCCCGAUGA